rnacentral:rRNA from 1 species
GCUUAACACAUGCAAGUCGAACGCUGGAGCCUGGUGCUUGCACCGGGUGGAUGAGUGGCGAACGGGUGAGUAACACGUGAGUAACCUGCCCCUGACUUCGGGAUAAGCCCGGGAAACUGGGUCUAAUACCGGAUACGACUGCCGGACGCAUGUCUGGUGGUGGAAAGUUUUUUCGGUUGGGGAUGGGCUCGCGGCCUAUCAGUUUGUUGGUGAGGUAAUGGCUCACCAAGACGACGACGGGUAGCCGGCCUGAGAGGGCGACCGGCCACACUGGGACUGAGACACGGCCCAGACUCCUACGGGAGGCAGCAGUGGGGAAUAUUGCACAAUGGGGGAAACCCUGAUGCAGCGACGCAGCGUGCGGGAUGACGGCCUUCGGGUUGUAAACCGCUUUCAGCAGGGAAGAAGCGCAAGUGACGGUACCUGCAGAAGAAGUACCGGCUAACUACGUGCCAGCAGCCGCGGUAAUACGUAGGGUACGAGCGUUGUCCGGAAUUAUUGGGCGUAAAGAGCUCGUAGGUGGUUGGUCACGUCUGCUGUGGAGACGCAACGCUUAACGUUGCGCGUGCAGUGGGUACGGGCUGACUAGAGUGCAGUAGGGGAGUCUGGAAUUCCUGGUGUAGCGGUGAAAUGCGCAGAUAUCAGGAGGAACACCGGUGGCGAAGGCGGGACUCUGGGCUGUAACUGACACUGAGGAGCGAAAGCAUGGGGAGCGAACAGGAUUAGAUACCCUGGUAGUCCAUGCCGUAAACGUUGGGCACUAGGUGUGGGGGGCAUUCCACGUUCUCCGCGCCGUAGCUAACGCAUUAAGUGCCCCGCCUGGGGAGUACGGUCGCAAGGCUAAAACUCAAAUGAAUUGACGGCCAUNACACUGGCGGCC